UUCGCACGAUGCCCCCCGGGUGGCCAUGGGCCUUGAUAGUGAAUCCGGUGCGAAUCCGGAGCGGUCCCGCCGCUGUAAUCCCAUGACGCCACGGCCCGAAACGCCACUGCAAUACCUUUGCGGGAAGGCCGGGCCGGACGGGAAAGCCAGAAGACCUGCCCGGGGCUUAUCCGGCCG
rnacentral:ncRNA from 2 species